rnacentral:lncRNA from 1 species
GGUUGGGCAUCCAUCAUCCCACAUGCCUAGUUGAGAGGAGUCUGUUCUAUAGUGAAGAAUAGGGAGAAAAGGUUGCAGUUCAAGGAUUGUGAUUGCAAUCUAGAUCAACAUUUGAUCAAGAUUCAAAGAGGCUAAGGUCCUACUUGGAGAAGAAGGAUCUACUAUGAGAAGAAAGAUUUAUGGUUAAUUUCGAUAGAUACCUAUAG